rnacentral:tRNA from 1 species
GUGGCCCAGCGCAGCCUGGUCAGCGCACUAGACUGGGGGUCUAGGGGUCGGAGGUUCGAAUCCUCUCGCCCCG